GUYUUAAUGGAAAUUWUUUUAAGUCGGGUCUGCUCMNAUGAGAAAUUUAAAUAGCUGCMGUAUUAAUGRCUGUACAAAGGAUGCMUAAUCAUUAGUUUUUUAAUUGAAAACUGGAAUGAAGGAUUUAAUGAAAUAUAAACUGUUUCAAAUUUAAAAAAUUAAUUUUUUUUUUAAAUAAAAAAAUUUAAAUUUUUUUUAAAGACGAGAAGACCCUAUAGAAUUUUAUUAAUUAAUAAUAUUUUUUAUAUAUUAAGUAAUUAAUUUAAUUGGGGAAAUUUUAAAAUUUAAUUAAUUUUUAAUUAAAAUAAACAAAAAUUGUUGUAUAAGUAUAAUUUUUUAAAAAAAUAAAUUAAAUUACCUUAGGGAUAACAGCAUAAUUUUUUUUUUAAGUUCAAAUUUAUAAAAAAGUUUAU
rnacentral:rRNA from 1 species